GCAAAACGUUUUUUUUUAAUGCGUGAAACUUGUUUUCAGCUUUGCUGCGUUUUAGGUACAUUCUCAUGUACAUGAGCACGUGUAUAUCGUGAUCUUCGUCAAUACGCAGUUGAGGAAAAUUGUACAGUGUAAAUAUUCUUCUAAUGCGUUACGAGAUCGUGCAAAGCGUGCUCUUCUAAUUCUUUGACAGAUUGUUUAUCAUUUGCCAUUGUGUGCAAAAAUGAUUUUACAUUUCAUAUGACAAUAUUAAUUGAUGAUCAUUAUAUUUUCAUCUGUUUUGAAUUAAACUUUUGUUUAAUUUAUGAUCUACGGCAGUGGUAUUAUACGUACCAUUGACUUUCUCUUUUACAAUAAUAACUUAGAGAAUGUUAAUUAUUUUCAUUAUGGACAAAUAAUGAUUUUAUGUGCCGCAUGAUAAUCUGGUCUGUGACCAUUUUAUUAUUGAAUAUGUUUUGCUCUUGUCUUUCAUAUAAUCGACUUAAUGAUGGUCGCAGAUACAAGAGAUGAUAAAACCCGAUGACGUCGCAGAUCAUGGAUGACUUAUUUCAUGUUCAAAUUGUUGAAACUUUAUUGUUUCAGCCUUGCCGGGUUUUUGUUCUUUCUGUUUCUUUUGUUUCAGAAAUGAACUUACAAAAUAGAGGUUCAUGUGGUCAUGUCAAGACAAGGUGGAAUUUCCACAACACUUGCCUUGCAUGUACCGGUUGCACUUGCUUCACAAAUGUGCGGUGUGCGUAUUGUGGGCUUAUGACACAGCUGGUCGCCGACGGACGUCGAUCAGCCACAACGCAACGAACCUACAACAGACGUUGAUUGUCCGGUGACUUCACUGGAUGAUGGUCUUUAAAUUGUUUUGAAUAUACGUACAAUUGAUGUUAUCUUUUACAAUAGUAACUAAGAUAAUAUUAGUUAAUUGUAUUAUAUGCUAAUAAUUAUUGUGCCAUAUGACAAUCUGGUCUAGGACCAGUUAAUUGUUGAAUAUGUUUUAGUCUUAUUUUUCAUAUUCAACUACACGAUGUCUGCAGAGAGGACAUCUGAUGAUUUAGCCUUCGCUAUUCUUUCCCGGGCAGGAUGAGAUCUAUUAGUAAAUAUUGCUUAGAAAGUAGAUCUACAUCACACCUUAUGGCACCAAGAUGGGAAGAAGAGCCAUACGUCGGUAACUGCCCGUUGGCGGUGACCUUGGAGGGUCAUCGCCGGUGACAGUACUGUUCACUUAGUGACGGUCCGUUCACCGGAAAACAAUUUCCGGGUACUGUUCCCGUUAAUUGAGGCGAGACGGGCAAGACGUGGAACACGGAGCUACCUCUCCGUCGAUCGUCGUCGGACCAUUGGGGCGUUCGCCAUUUACCGGUCUGUGCCCGUAGACGUUGACCACGGAGCAACAACGGUACGUCGGUCAAUGUCUCAUUCAGGUUUGUUGAGGUAUGUAUGAUUAUAACAUAUAUACCUAACGUUGACCACGGAGGUUCAAUACUAGUGACGUCACAGUUUCAGAGAUGUUCCUGUAACACGUUGAGGAAACGGUUCCCAUUAACAUAGACGGACAAGACGUGGAACACAGAACUAUCGCAUCGUCGAUCGUCUUCAGAUCAUGGUGCUUUCGCCUUCACCGGUCUGUGCCUGUAGACGUUGACCACGGAGCAACAACGAACACCAGUUACCGGGGACUGAUCCUGUCAUGGAGAAGAAUAUCCGUCACGGGUUCUCGGUACCUAAGAAGAACCUUCUUACGUCGGUUUUUCCCCGAGGACAUUGACCACGGAGCAACAACUGCACGGUGAUUAAUGUCUAUUCAUGUAUGUAUUUUAUGAGACAUACUGUAUCUAACAUUGCAGGUGACGUCAUUGUUUCAUAUUUCAUGAUCGGUCCGUUCACCGAACACCAGUUUCCGGGGACUGAUCUUGUCAUCGAGAGGAAAUUUCAGUCGCCGGUUCCCGGUACCUAAGAAACGGGCAAGACGUGGAUUACGGCUUUUCACUCUCCGUCGAUCGUUGCUAGACCUUAUGGCGCACACCAUUCAUCGGUCUUUGCCCGACAUGUUGACAACGGAGCUAUAACAGUACGUCGGUCAAUGUCUCAGUCAGGUAUAUAAGAUAAGGAAGGUAAGAAUAAGUAAACAUCAUCUGACUUCUUAUUCAUCUUAUUCGUCCACAGAUACAACAACAGUAGACGGACACGCUAUUCUUCAUCGAGCACUGGCCAGAAGAAGAAGUCGUUCAUCAUCAUCGGAUAGGAUAGACAUCGAAAAUACCUCGCUUUCAAUGAGCAGUUCUCGUAAGCGUUCACGUCAACGCUCAUGUAGACAUUAUUUUGGAGACUUUAUUUCCAGCGUAGCCAAACAAUAUUUCGGCAUCGCAGGUAUAUUGGAAUUCGCCAUUCAUCAUGUAUGGAUUUCCGAACCUACUGGUCAUAUUGACGUUUUCUAUAUUAUUCCUUUACGGAAUAUCAUAUCACCAUUACACAUGUGUUGGUUUUCUUAGGCAUCCACACAUGUUGCAGUCACCGAACCUUAUUUGUAUACGAACAUUAGUUCGUUUAAAUUUCAGGCUUCGGGAUUAGGUCAUAUUGCCACCACGACUACAUUGGACACUUUGUGCCUAUCAUACUGAUAAUCUAACAUUGUUUUCCGAUUUACAGUAUCAGUUAGAUGACUUCUGCACCAGUUAUUUUCAUCCUGACGCAGUCUUAUUAGGACCGAUUCGUUCCGAUCACAGCGCACCGAUCUCCGGACACCAGUCACCGAUCAAAACAAGUAGUUGUUUUCUUCCUCCUCUUCUUCGUCAUCGAGGGGGUUCGUCAUCAUUGCCAUCGGAAUUGAGUUUUGGCUCGUUCUUCUUUGUCGAGCAAUACUCGGAAUUCAUGUCAGACCAUAUGGAUUCCAUCAUAUUUUGGCAUUAAACCAAUAACGUUACCGGUCAUAUUAAGGACCGUUCCGGUUAGGUUAACAGUUACCAAUCACCGGUAUUAACUUGUGUUUUCAUCGGUCAUAAUUUGUAGCAACGGCUAUCUUCUACUUGUCUAGUUGUAUAACCCUUGCUAUGAUUCUAUUGAAUCCAAUAUUUUAUGGAUUGAACAAUUUCCAUGACAUUUUGUAUUUUUUUAAUACUCAUGUUCUACUGAUGACCGUUAUUUGCCAAAUCAUCUACGCUGAUUUGGUUUAUGGUUGAAUUUCCUUACCAGCUAAUCCAAAUUGGUGCUGGAUAUGAAUUACUUAUACUAUAAGAAUAUGAAAUACAUCUAUCUGUUAUUUCUACUUCUAUCUCCGCCGACUACAUGCAGACUAUUGGUCUUGCAGUUUGUUCGGCUGAAGCGAGCUCAAAAUCUUAUAUUGGGCUCGAACAUUUCUAUUUGAUCUAGAAUUAUAUUCGAGAACCUUAGGUUAAAUUUUAACACACCUUAACCUGUUGGAUACAGACGAGCAUUCUUUUUAGCUCUUUUUCAUUUAUAAACAUUUUCACGACUCGUUUGUGAUGAUUUCAACUAGCACACAUCGGUCGUGGUUUAUUUCCAGACACAGAGGUGAACAUAUUAUCACUCAUUGUAUUUGUAUUCCAGGAACUUAUUCGUUAUUUGCAAGAUAGCAGGUCGUCUCAACGCCUGCAGUUCUUUUUCCUUUCGGUUAAAUGAAAAUUGAUUUGCGCAUGCGCGCCAGUGUUUUUCCAAAUCGCUUACACGUAGAUGCUUAAAUGUUUCGAGGAAAGUUGUUUCUCAUCUAACGCUAGUAAUGAGCGAAAUGCGAUCAUAGAUCGCGAAAUGCGAUCAUAGAUCGCAGUGUUAAUGCUACACCGCGAAUGCAGUUCGUAGAAAUCGAUCAACAGCGUGUGCGAUUGUUAUACAUUCGUCCACUUGACAUAAACUGGAUACUUAGGUUAUUCUAUUAUUUUGCCAGUUUUGGAAUAUCUUAGUGAGUUUUUGCCAUAUUUUUAUGGUAUCUACUUAGUGAAUCAUGUGAUUAUGGUUCUACGACCUUUUAAGUCUCCUGUACAAUUAAUUUCAGGAACUUCUGCACAGGUUAAAUAUCAUAUCUUAGAGAGAAAUAUGUAUACAGAUCCAAACAUGUGCCACUACAUGUCUGGCCAUUAUUUAGUUGUUUCUGCAGAACAUAUUUCUGUUAGAACUUCAAUACUUGUUACUUUUGAAAGGAUAAUUCCAUCAGAACGGUAUAUGAGGUUCCCUGGAAAUUCUUUUUGACUGGGUAUUUGAGAGCAUAGUUAUUACCUUAAUCACUCUGCUAGAUGCAUACAUCUUUUUCUUUGAUGAUAAGAAAUGUGUUCUUCUUUCCAUCAAGGAUAGAGAUUAUGCUUUCGUAUACCUUGUUUUGUGUUAGUCAUCACAACUCUGUGCUAAUUUGGAACUGAUCCAAGCUAUGGAACAUUAACACUAUGUUGUUCGUUCUUAAGCGGUUUUGGCUUGUGUUAUUGGGUUGCUUGAUGAGCUUCCUAUGAAUUUUUUUCAUCAGCCUUAUUAACAGUUCCAAUAUAAUUUUUAAGACGGGUUUUUCCUUCUAAUUAUGUCUUUACCAUACUGAGAAGUGAAAUUCAUGCUUUUUCUGUUGAAUAAGACCAAUUUCAGUUCGAUCUAAUGUCGUCUUCACUUUAUUGUGUCAGCCAGGAUUCCUUGCUUAUAUCAACUCUAUACGACUUCUCAAAAUCUUCAAGUUUCCAAGUUUUCUUAAACUGGUAGACAUGUAGAUAAGGAUAAACUUCUAUGGCCAAGCAGGGCUUUGAAGUUCUAUCUCAGCAGUGUUAGUACAUUCGAGGUUCUAAAAAGACACUCUUCAUUUCCCUAAAAAAGGGGGGGGGGAGAUGUGUCUGCGGUUUCUAUUAACUAGGGUUAGGCCUCUACAAGGAAGGUUUACUCUUAUCUCUUAUCUAAGGAUUCAUUCCUUUUUAGGAUCUGACCGCAUGAAGUAAGAGCUUUGUCUGGUUCGUGGGCGUAUAUUAAUCACACCCCACUUCUUGACAUGCUCCAAGUUUUUUUCUGUAGGAAUCCGACCACCUUUUUAAUCUUUUUAUCUUCUUUUUCUGAAGUGCCAACAAAACCAUUUGUAUGUGUUUGGUCUUGUUGUAAUUUCAAUAACGGAAGUGUCUUCUUUUUGACAUAGACAUAUUUACUCUGUCUGAUGAGUCAAAAUUAAUACCGUUUUAACGAAGAUAAUCUGAUAAACCUUGUUUUGGGUUUUGGCUGUCAUUAGCUGGUAACCCUUUUUAUGGGUUCUACUGUGAUGGGAAAAUAUUUACGAGCCUUCCCACCUCAGCUUCAAAAUCAGCUAAUAGAUAGUAGGUAACGUAUUUAUGACAUUAAAACAAAUUUUUAAAGUAAAAUUCAUUUUAAUUAUUAAAUACUUACCUACUAUCGGUAAGUCCCAACUCCCAACGCGCUAUUCGAUUAAUAUUUUGUAUAUGUAUUGAAAGAAUAUUGAGGAUUGGUUACCGAUUUUUGCCUAGGUUGCGUUGCAGUAAUGUUUAACCUGGCCUGUAUUACGGUAAUGAGGUGGCCGGUUCCCAGUUAAAAUUCCGGAUGAGUUAAUUCCCCUUGGAAAGCUAUAGCUAAUAGAUAGUAGGUAAGUAUUUAAUAAUUAAAAUGAAUUUUACUUUAAAAAUUUGUUUUGAACCACUGUGAUCAUUGAAAAUCUAUAUGUUCACUCAUGGCUGCCCCAUUCAGUGUUAAGAUAUACAUUGGGUAACGUGGUAUAUUUCUUAUAUCUCUUUAAAACCAGUUUUACCAGAGCAAAAAUAGAGAAUAGUUAUGUUUCUACAUGUCCUUUGACUAUUUAAAACACUGGUGACCCCAUUUUUUAUUUGAUUUUUCUUUUAUGAAUGUAUUACUUUGUUAAAAAAACAAAACGACAUCGAAAUCUGUGUAGAUCUACAACAAAAUACACACCGCCAAGA